CUCGGCACUCAAGUCGAGCAUAGGGUAUAAGGUCAUGGCCCAGAGAAAUUAUUAGUUAGAUUAGGUCUACCAACUUAUGGUAGAUUGGUUUUAUCAGGAAGUGCCAUGCAAUCUAAAUGUCUAUGGGGGAUCUACAUAAGCCAACCUAUCAAGUAAAAAAAAGAGAAACGAAGUUCAAAUGCAUUCGGCCCUCUCCUUUUCUUCUCUUCCAUCAUCUGGAGAGAAACUCUAGGGUUUUGCAUGAGCCGUUAGUCUCCGGCUUCUAUGCAUCGCGGAUCUCCGGCUUCUAUGCAUCGCGGAUCUCCGGCUCCUGUGCGUCAGAGUCAUCCUCCUUAGCCCCAAGGAGGUAGAAAUGGAGUUUGAAAUCGGUCCUUCUACAUUUAUCCUCUCCUUUAGUCUUGAGUAGAAUCAGUCUCCUCUCCCUUCCUUCCUAGCGUCGAGCUUCUUGUGCAGCAAUGGCCUCUAGCUCCCAAUGCGCCGCCAUUCUUUGGCUCCCAUGUGGCGCACGAAGAACAUGGAGGGGGGCUCGGGAGGAGUCCGGUGAUGCAAGGAGAGGGUGGAGUGCUCAGGCUAUAGAUCGGUGCUCGAGCAGCUCUGCCAAAAAACCUAAAAGGGAGAGCCGUAGCGCAUAGCGAACCUAGAGGAUAGCUAAGGAGGAGGCUAGCGGUGGAAGGUAGACCGAAGAACGACGACACAUGAGAGCCGGCCUAAGAUUCCGGUAGAUCUGCUCGAG
rnacentral:lncRNA from 1 species